GGAUGUGAGGGUGACCUGGCUGCAACACCUGUCACCUCACUGAUCGCCAGGGCUGGCUGGCAGAUGUCCCUUCCUCCUUCACUGCUGCACACGCCUCCCUCCCAACAGGCACCACCAACACAUAGAGGAGGGUGUUUCCUCAUCAAGGCUAUUCAAGUGGCUGUGCUCCCAUGCUACAGCCUCCAAACAGCUCUCAGAACACCAGAGGCAUAUUUUAGAGGCUAUCAGAAAUUCAGGUAAGCCUCAAUCCUCUCCCU
rfam:Fukomys damarensis contig92649, whole genome shotgun sequence.